rnacentral:rRNA from 1 species
CGGGGGCAACCCUGGUGGCGAGUGGCGAACGGGUGAGUAAUACAUCGGAACGUGUCCUGUAGUGGGGGAUAGCCCGGCGAAAGCCGGAUUAAUACCGCAUACGAUCUACGGAAGAAAGCGGGGGAUCGCAAGACCUCGCGCUAUAGGCCGCGGCCGAUGGCAGAUUAGCUAGUUGGUGGGGUAAAGGCCUACCAAGGCGACGAUCUGUAGCUGGUCUGAGAGGACGACCAGCCACACUGGGACUGAGACACGGCCCAGACUCCUACGGGAGGCAGCAGUGGGGAAUUUUGGACAAUGGGGGAAACCCUGAUCCAGCAAUGCCGCGUGUGUGAAGAAGGCCUUCGGGUUGUAAAGCACUUUUGUCCGGAAAGAAAACCUUUGCACUAAUACUGUGAGGGGAUGUCGGUACCGGAAGAAUAAGCACCGGCUAACUACGUGCCAGCAGCCGCGGUAA